GUUAGUUAUGUCUGUUGCUUAGUAACUUGACAAGCUGCAUUCCAGAGUUGAUGACACCAUUUAGGGGGUUUUGCAUAUGAAAUGGGAAAUGGGUGUAUCCUUUCUGGGGACACACAGGAAGUGAUGUACAGAUGCCUCUUCCUGUCUCUUCCUCUUUGCUCCUGACCAUGCCAUGCUGAUGUUCCUGUAUGUUAAGAGAUAUGUAGUUUCCUGAACUGUUUUUCUUUGGAACUAAGAUGUUUUUGCCUGUAUGACCAUCAUCAUACAAGAUUAUCCUCUGAAGAUGCCAUUAGCCACAGCUGCAGGUGAAAUGUCAGGAGAGAAUGCUGCUGGAACAUGGCCAUACAGCCCGGAAAACUUGCAGCAACCCAAUGAUGCCAACCAUGAAAGCCUUCGACAGCACAUUUGUAUUAGCACUGAGGAUGGUUGUCUGAUUCAGCUCUUUCACACUUGUUUCUCAAAAGCGGGACCUCCAUACAGCUCAAAGAAAUUGAAACAAAUAGAGGUAAAACGUCAGAUGAGGCAUAAGGAGAAACACUUAACGUUGUCGAUGUUGAAUAAUAAUAAUGAUGAUAAUAAUCAUCAUCAUCAUCAUCUUUCGAAUCCAGACUGACAAAGUUCUGGAACACAACACACCAGACAUCACAGUUGUGGAAAAGAAAAAGGUUUGGAUCAUUGAUGUCGCCAUGCCCAGGUGACAGUCGCAUUGGCGAAAAACAACAGGAAAAACUCAGCCGCUAUCAGGACCUCAAGAUUGAACUUCAAAGACUCUGGCAGAAACCAGUGCAGGUGGUCCCGGUGGUGAUGGGCACACUGGGUGCCGUGCCAAAGGAUCUCAGCCGGCAUUUGGAAACAAUAGACAUUGAUAAAAUCACGAUCUGCCAACUGCAAAAGGCCAACCUACUGGGAUCUGCGCGCAUCAUCCGAAAAUACAUCACACAGUCCUAGACACUUGGGAAGUGUUCGACUUGUGAUUUUGUGAUAUGAAAUCCAGCAUAUCUAUCUUGUUUGCUGUGUCAUAAUAAAAUAAUAAUAAUAAAUCUUGCUUUGUAUCCUGCUUUUCUCCCUCAUGGGACUCAAAGUGGCUUACAACAUACUAAAAUCACAUAAACAGCAAUCAGAACACAUCAAUAACAAAUAUCAGCAUAAAGUAAACCAAUUAAGAAAAC
rnacentral:lncRNA from 11 species